AGUACCGUGAGGGAAAGGUGAAAAGUACCCCGGAAGGGGAGUGAAAGAGAACUUGAAACCGUGUGCUUACAAGUAGUCAGAGCCCGUUAAUGGGUGAUGGCGUGCCUUUUGUAGAAUGAACCGGCGAGUUACGAUCUGAUGCAAGGUUAAGCAGAAAAUGUGGAGCCGUAGCGAAAGCGAGUCUGAAUAGGGCGAAUGAGUAUUUGGUCGUAGACCCGAAACCAGGUGAUCUACCCUUGGUCAGGUUGAAGUUCAGGUAACACUGAAUGGAGGACCGAACCGACUUACGUUGAAAAGUGAGCGGAUGAACUGAGGGUAGCGGAGAAAUUCCAAUCGAACUUGGAGAUAGCUGGUUCUCUCCGAAAUAGCUUUAGGGCUAGCCUCAAGUGAUGAUUAUUGGAGGUAGAGCACUGUUUGGACGAGGGGCCCCUCUCGGGUUACCGAAUUCAGACAAACUCCGAAUGCCAAAUAAUUUAACUUGGGAGUCAGAAUGUGGGUGAUAAGGUCCAUAUUCGAAAGGGAAACAGCCCAGACCACCAGCUAAGGUCCCAAAAUAUAUGUUAAGUGGAAAAGGAUGUGGCGUUGCCCAGACAACUAGGAUGUUGGCUUAGAAGCAGCCAUCAUUUAAAGAGUGCGUAAUAGCUCACUAGUCGAGUGACACUGCGCCGAAAAUGUACCGGGGCUAAACAUAUUACCGAAGCUGUGGAUUGUCCUUUGGACAAUGGUAGGAGAGCGUUCUAAGGGCGUUGAAGCAUGAUCGCAAGGACAUGUGGAGCGCUUAGAAGUGAGAAUGCCGGUGUGAGUAGCGAAAGACGGGUGAGAAUCCCGUCCACCGAUUGACUAAGGUUUCCAGAGGAAGGCUCGUCCGCUCUGGGUUAGUCGGGUCCUAAGCUGAGGCCGACAGGCGUAGGCGAUGGAUAACAGGUUGAUAUUCCUGUACCACCAUUAUUCGUUUUAAGCGAUGGGGGGACGCAGUAGGAUAGGCGAAGCGUGCUGUUGGAGUGCACGUCCAAGCAGUGAGAUUGAGUGUUAGGCAAAUCCGGCACUCUUAAGAUUGAGCUGUGAUGGGGAGAGGAACUUGUUCCUCGAGUCGUUGAUUUCACACUGCCGAGAAAAGCCUCUAGCUAGAAUAACGGUGCCCGUACCGCAAACCGACACAGGUAGUCAAGAUGAGAAUUCUAAGGUGAGCGAGCGAACUCUCGUUAAGGAACUCGGCAAAAUGACCCCGUAACUUCGGGAGAAGGGGUGCUCUUUGAGGUUCACGCUUCGAAGAGCCGCAGUGAAUAGGCCCAAGCGACUGUUUAUCAAAAACACAGGUCUCUGCUAAACCGUAAGGUGACGUAUAGGGGCUGACGCCUGCCCGGUGCUGGAAGGUUAAGAGGAGUGGUUAGCGCAAGCGAAGCUACGAAUCGAAGCCCCAGUAAACGGCGGCCGUAACUAUAACGGUCCUAAGGUAGCGAAAUUCCUUGUCGGGUAAGUUCCGACCCGCACGAAAGGCGUAACGAUUUGGGCACUGUCUCAACGAGAGACUCGGUGAAAUCAUAGUACCGGUGAAGAUGCCGGUUACCCGCGACAGGACGGAAAGACCCCGUGGAGCUUUACUGUAGCCUGAUAUUGAAAUUCGGUACAGUUUGUACAGGAUAGGUAGGAGCCUUAGAAGCGUGAGCGCUAGCUUACGUGGAGGCAUUGGUGGGAUACUACCCUAAUUGUAUUGGAUUUCUAACCCGCAGCACUUAUCGUGCUGGGAGACAGUGUCAGGCGGGCAGUUUGACUGGGGCGGUCGCCUCCUAAAGAGUAACGGAGGCGCUCAAAGGUUCCCUCAGAAUGGUUGGAAAUCAUUCAUAGAGUGUAAAGGCAUAAGGGAGCUUGACUGCGAGACCUACAAGUCGAGCAGGGUCGAAAGACGGACUUAGUGAUCCGGUGGUUCCGCAUGGAAGGGCCAUCGCUCAACGGAUAAAAGCUACCCCGGGGAUAACAGGCUUAUCUCCCCCAAGAGUUCACAUCGACGGGGAGGUUUGGCACCUCGAUGUCGGCUCAUCGCAUCCUGGGGCUGUAGUCGGUCCCAAGGGUUGGGCUGUUCGCCCAUUAAAGCGGUACGCGAGCUGGGUUCAGAACGUCGUGAGACAGUUCGGUCCCUAUCCGUCGUGGGCGUAGGAAAUUUGAGAGGAGCUGUCCUUAGUACGAGAGGACCGGGAUGGACAUACCUCUGGUGUACCAGUUGUCGUGCCAACGGCAUAGCUGGGUAGCUAUGUAUGGACGGGAUAAGUGCUGAAAGCAUCUAAGCAUGAAGCCCCCCUCGAGAUGAGAUUUCCCAACUUC
rnacentral:rRNA from 1 species